UACGUAGGGUGCGAGCGUUAAUCGGAAUUACUGGGCGUAAAGCGUGCGCAGGCGGUCUUGUAAGCCAGAUGUGAAAUCCCCGGGCUUAACCUGGGAAUAGCAUUUGGGACUGCAAGGCUUGAGUGCGGCAGAGGAGACUGGAAUUCCUGGUGUAGCAGUGAAAUGCGUAGAUAUCAGGAGGAAUACCGAUGGCGAAGGCAGGUCUCUGGGCUGACACUGACGCUCAUGCACGAAAGCGUGGGGAGCAAACAGG
rnacentral:rRNA from 1 species